GGUUUUAUAGUCAAAUAUAUGAUAUUAAAUUGCAAAUUUAAAGUUAGAUUAUUAUUGUCUUAAAACUU
rnacentral:tRNA from 1 species